UAUAACUGAGCAACUGCAGAAGGAACUAACCUGGAGCUGAGCCGCAGGCCCAAGUGCAGAGGAGAGGAGCACCCCGAGGUGAGGGGCCCAUCAACAGAAAUUCAGAACUCCAGGGAUCUGGACAACAAUCUCUUCAUACUUCUCCAUACAUGACCUGCCCUAAACUAGCCAAUGAACUCCAGGUGUUGGUUGGUUGAACCCCCAGAUGUGGAGCCCACAUAAUGUGGAGAGUCAACUCUAAGAUAUAGGCAGAUUUUCAACUGUGUGAGAGGGCCCCUCAGGAGAACCAAGCAUCAAGAAGAGGGGGACCAACCACAGAAUCACAGCGUUGCCAAGGGCGCCCACUGCCAGAUCAACCAGCCCGUCUUCAUUCAGGUCCAGCUGCCCGUGGAUGCUGCAGCCAAAGUACUGCAGACCUGGAGUCAGUUCUGAGGCGGCGAUUCUCUGCCAAGAGUGGAAAGAAGAAGAACGCAGCGCACAUACACUGUUAGCACGGACGGAAGGGUGCCCUCGGGGUAAACACAAUUGGGGAGCCCAGAGACAGCCUGUUUGGAACCAUCAGGAAGCUUUCCUAGCUCAAAGCUUUUGCCUCCUGCUUGGUCCUGGAACUUGCAAUUCCUAUCUUUAAAUCAUUUGUUGGGAUUAAAAUAUUGUAUCUAGGGUCUCUAUGGUGGCGCAAGGGGUUAAACACCACACUGUGAAGCAAUCUGCAGCCUCUGCAGCAUGAGUUCGAUCCCCGGCCGGCCAGGGAGAAACCCACAUGGCGCAGCAGACCUCUCCUGUCUCGCCUGCUUCUCCCCUCAGCAGUGUGUUUCAGUCAGUCUGCCUGUUCUGUUCCCCGCUCUGUCUCUGGUGGAUCCUCUCACCCCCCGCAUCUCCGGUCUGUACCCCAGCUCUUGUAUGCAUAAA